GUACACGCUGUGACUAGCAUAUCAAUAAGCGGAGGAAAAGAAACUAACAAGGAUUCCCCUAGUAACGGCGAGUGAAGCGGGAAGAGCUCAAAUUUGAAAUCUUAAAGGGUUUCCCUUUACGAAUUGUAGUUUAAAGAAGUGUUUUCUGUUGAGGUUUUGGUAAAAGUUCUUUGGAAUAGGACAUCAUAGAGGGUGAGAAUCCCGUAUUUGACCUUUACUUUCAACUUUGUGAUACACUUUCAAAGAGUCGGAUUGUUUGGGAAUGCAGUCCAAAAUGGGUGGUAAAUUUCAUCUAAAGCUAAAUAUUGGCGAGAGACCGAUAGCGAACAAGUACCGUGAGGGAAAGAUGAAAAGAACUUUGAAAAGAGAGUUAAACAGUACGUGAAAUUGUCAAAAGGGAAGCGUUUGACACCAGUGUUGUUUUUCUGAAAAUCAAUUAAAGAACUGUUUAUGCUAAGCUUGUUUAGACUUUAUCAGCUAAUCUGUUUAGUUUUGAGCUUUUCUUUAAUGCACUUUUCAGUUAACAAGUCAACAUCAAUUUCUUUUGCUGUAAAAAAGCUUGAGGAAGGUGGCUUGAGAUUCGUCUUAAGUGUUUAUAGCCUCUCGCCUAUGCAGUCGGAGAGAUUGAGGUCUGCAGCGUAGAUCCUUUGGGGCUAAAUGCAUUUGUGCUAAGUUAUAGCAUUUUAUAGACAACUUGUUGACUAUGAUUUGUCUUGUAGCUUACUCGCUUAUGUUAUUUUACCUACGCUUAGGAUGUUGAAGAUGUAGCACAUCAU
rnacentral:rRNA from 1 species